ACCAGACUCCUACGGGAGGCAGCAGUGGGGAAUAUUGCACAAUGGGGGAAACCCUGAUGCAGCAACGCCGCGUGAGUGAGGAAGUAUUUCGGUAUGUAAAGCUCUAUCAGCAGGGAAUAGAAAAGAAGGUACCUGAAAAAGAAGCCCCGGCUAACUACGUGCCAGCAGCCGCGGUAAUACGUAGGGGGCAAGCGUUAUCCGGAUUUACUGGGUGUAAAGGGAGCGUAGACGGCGAUGCAAGUCUGAAGUGAAAGCCCGGGGCUCAACCCCGGGACUGCUUUGGAAACUGUAUGGCUGGAGUGCUGGAGAGGCAAGCGGAAUUCCUAGUGUAGCGGUGAAAUGCGUAGAUAUUAGGAAGAACACCAGUGGCGAAGGCGGCUUGCUGGACAGUAACUGACGUUGAGGCUCGAAAGCGUGGGGAGCAAACAGGAUUAGAUACCCUGGUA
rnacentral:rRNA from 1 species